UUGAUUUUCUUCGGAAAUGAAGAUUUUGUGACUGAGUGGCGGACGGGUGAGUAACGCGUGGGUAACCUGCCUCAUACAGGGGGAUAACAGUUGGAAACGACUGCUAAUACCGCAUAAGCGCACAGGAUCGCAUGGUCCGGUGUGAAAAACUCCGGUGGUAUGGGAUGGACCCGCGUCUGAUUAGCCAGUUGGCAGGGUAACGGCCUACCAAAGCGACGAUCAGUAGCCGACCUGAGAGGGUGACCGGCCACAUUGGGACUGAGACACGGCCCAAACUCCUACGGGAGGCAGCAGUGGGGAAUAUUGCACAAUGGGGGAAACCCUGAUGCAGCGACGCCGCGUAAGCGAAGAAGUAUUUCGGUAUGUAAAGCUCUAUCAGCAGGGAAGAAGAAUGACGGUACCUGACUAAGAAGCACCGGCUAAAUACGUGCCAGCAGCCGCGGUAAUACGCAUGGUGCAAGCGUUAUCCGGAUUUACUGGGUGUAAAGGGAGCGCAGGCGGUGCGGCAAGUCUGAUGUGAAAGCCCGGGGCUCAACCCCGGUACUGCAUUGGAAACUGUCGUACUAGAGUGUCGGAGGGGUAAGUGGAAUUCCUAGUGUAGCGGUGAAAUGCGUAGAUAUUAGGAGGAACACCAGUGGCGAAGGCGG
rnacentral:rRNA from 1 species